rnacentral:misc_RNA from 1 species
AAGUACAACAAUUCUUGAAUAUCUUUUCUUCAAUAUCAUGACCAAGGCUUAGUACAAUUUGAGAAUCAAAUGUAACAACAACACAGUACUUAUCAAUUGGUUCUACACCAAACAUGUUGUUGUUGUUGCUGUUGUACCUAGCAUCACAUAAAUCCCAGAAAACUUCAAUUUUUUUACGAUCAUCAUCAUCAUCAGAAUCAAACUCGAUUGAUUUCUUCCCCUUUUUCUUCUUCGAAAUCGCGCUAAUUUUGAAGGAAUUUGAAGGAUUAUCACCAAAUUGUAUGUACAAAGUUUGUG